rnacentral:rRNA from 1 species
GAUAAACGCUGGCGGCGUGCCUAAUACAUGCAAGUCGAGCGAACGGAAGAAGCGUCUUCGGACGAAUUGGAAGUGAGCGGCGAACGGGUGAGUAACACGUAGGUAACCUGCCCUUGAGAUAGGGAUAACAGUUGGAAACGACAGCUAAUACCGGAUAUUAUGAGAUUCUCGCAUGGGAAACUUAUGAAAGCUAUAUGCGCCAAGAGAGAGCCUUGCGUUCCAUUAGCUAGUUGGUGGGGUAAUGGCCCACCAAGGCGACGAUGGAUAGCCGGCCUGAGAGGGUGAACGGCCACAAGGGGACUGAGACACGGCCCUUACUCCUACGGGAGGCAGCAGUGGGGAAUAUUGGACAAUGGGCCACAAGCCUGAUCCAGCAAUUCUGUGUGCACGAUGAAGGUCUUCGGAUCGUAAAGUGCUUUCAGUUGGGAAGAAGAAAGUGACGGUACCAACAGAAGAAGCGACGGCUAAAUACGUGCCAGCCGCCGC